UCUAAAUAUUUAUUAUUCUAUUUUUUUACUAUUUUAUUUAUUUACUAUCUGUUGUCAUGUUAAAAGUGGACUUUAGUUACAUUUCAUGUAAUUUAAGAGAUGAAUUCAUGAUUGGUUAUCAAUGACAAGGCUUCAUUUAUAACUAUUGACUUGAUCAGUGAAUUUUCCAGAAUGAACUUGAGGCUGCUAAAUCUGAGAUUCAAAGUUGGCAUUCUUCAAUUCAAAAUGAGCCUUGUGUACCUGCUGGUGCCACUCCUGAGCCCAAAAUGUUGCUUGAUUUUCUUCAGGCCCUGAAAUCCUCAGAGGAGUCUUUAAGAGAGCAGCUUGAAAAGGCAAAGAAAAAGGAAGCUGCGUUCAUUGUAACAUUUGCAAAACGAGAACAAGAGAUAGCAGAGUUGAAGGUAUCAUGCUCAAAAUAAGUUUUUUUCUAUAGCAUGGCUGUAUAUGUGCAAUUACAUUUUUUUCUGACAUCAACUUUGACCACCUGAGUAAAAUUUAUUUCCACCCUUUUAAGAAUACUAACAAAUUUACCCACUCUUCAAUGCUAGUCAAG